AGUGAGAUAGCUGGGUCAAAUGGUUAUUCCAUUCCAAGUUUUCUAAGGAAUAUCCAUACUGCUUUCCAUAGUGGGUGCACCAAUUUGCAGGGUCAUCAGAAAU
rnacentral:pre_miRNA from 1 species